UACGAAGGGGGCUAGCGUUGUUCGGAUUAACUGGGCGUAAAGCGCGCGUAGGCGGGUUUUUAAGUCAGGGGUGAAAUCCCAAGGCUCAACCUUGGAACUGCCUUUGAUACUGGAAAUCUUGAGUCCGGGAGAGGUGAGUGGAACUGCGAGUGUAGAGGUGAAAUUCGUAGAUAUUCGCAAGAACACCAGUGGCGAAGGCGGCCCACUGGCCCGGUACUGACGCUGAGGUGCGAAAGCGUGGGGAGCAAACAGG
rnacentral:rRNA from 1 species